rnacentral:rRNA from 1 species
GCGUUGCUCGGAAUCACUGGGCGUAAAGGGCGCGUAGGCGGGAUGGCAAGUCAGUCGUGAAAUCUCUCGGCUCAACCGAGAAACGUCGGCUGAUACUGCCGUUCUUGAGGGAUGCAGAGGAGACUGGAAUUCCCGGUGUAGCGGUGAAAUGUGUAGAGAUCGGGAGGAACACCGGUGGCGAAGGCGGGUCUCUGGGCAUUUCCUGACGCUGAGGCGCGAAAGCGUGGGGAGCAAACGGG